GCAUGGUGGUACAGUGGUUAGCACUGUUGCCUCUCAGACUGAAGGUUCUGGGUUUGAUCCCCAGGAUAGUGCC